rnacentral:tRNA from 1 species
AGUAAAGUAAACUAAUGGUAAGUUAUUAGGCUCAUAACCUAAUUAUGAGGGUUCAAUUCCUUCCUUUACAA